rnacentral:rRNA from 1 species
GACGAACGCUGGCGGCGUGCCUAACACAUGCAAGUCGAACGGGGGGAACAUGAAGUAUUUCGGUACGGAAUGCGCCCCUAGUGGCGAACGGGUGAGUAACACGUGGGCAACCUGCCCCAGACUGGGGGAUAACAUUGUGAAAACAGUGCUAAUACCGCAUGACAGGGUUCCGGGCAUCCGGGACCCUUGAAAGGAGAAAUCCGGUCAGGGAUGGGCCCGCGUCCAAUUAGCUAGUUGGCGGGGUAACGGCCCACCAAGGCGACGAUUGGUAGCCGAACUGAGAGGUUGAUCGGCCACAUUGGGACUGAGACACGGCCCAGACUCCUACGGGAGGCAGCAGUGGGGAAUAUUGGGCAAUGGGCGAAAGCCUGACCCAGCGACGCCGCGUGAAGGAUGAAGGUCUUCGGAUUGUAAACUUCUUUGAUCAGGGAAGAAAGAAAUGACGGUACCUGAAAACAAGCCACGGCUAACUACGUGCCAGCAGCCGCGGUAAAAGUCAACGUCG